rnacentral:tRNA from 1 species
AGAGUGUAGCUCAGUGGUAGAGUGCAUGCUUAGUAUGCAGGAGGUCCUGGGUUCAAUUCCCAGGAACUCCA